CGGAGGGGUUUUCUGCUCGGGGGAGGGCACCGCAGCCGGGCUGGGAGGGCACCGGGGGGCUGCAGGAGCCGUGGGUCCAUCCCAGCCGCAGGGAGGCGGGAGCCUGGCUGUGCGUCCGGCACGGGUGCAGGAGUUUUCUGUCCUGGGUGUUCUGCUCAGGGCCCGCCUGCUCCGGGCGCCGUGCUGCCGCCAGCCCAACACCUGCAGCUCCCGGCCGGAGCGCUUGGCGCUCUGCCGUGCGAGCAACGAGAUCCCGGCGCCAGGGCUGUGCCGGCAGGAGCCGGAGGGGUUUUCUGCUCGGGGGAGGGCACCGCAGCCGGGCUGGGAGGGCACCGGGGGGCUGCAGGAGCCGUGGGUCCAUCCCAGCCGCAGGGAGGCGGGAGCCUGGCUGUGCGUCCGGCACGGGUGCAGGAGUUUUCUGUCCUGGGUGUUCUGCUCAGGGCCCGCCUGCUCCGGGCGCCGUGCUCAUCUCCGUCCCCGUCCCAGCCGCUCCUCGGUGGCACCGCGUUCGCUCGCGUUGGUUUCCAGCCGGUUUCUGGUUGCCGCUCACACCACGCUGGCAGCGCGUCCAGGCUCCUCGCUGGCUCGCCGGGACUAUCUGCUGGCCGGGAGCUUUUCCCCCCUCUCUGCUGUUGGCACAAAGCCUGGAGGGAGAAUCGGUCAGCGUGGGGUCAGGACACCGUUGUUGUCCCCGCGCCAGCGCCAAGGGGACGCUCCCCCGCCUGGGUGCUCAGACCCGCAGGGACAGGACAUCCCCGGGCAGCGAUGGCUCUCUCCUCAUCCCCUCGGGAAUCCCAGCCCGCUGCGGGGCCAUUUCCUCCCAGCUCUGCGUCCCUAACGAGAAGCAGUCGCAGCCUUGGCCCCGUGCCUGCAAAAAUGAAUCUGUGCCUGUGCUUUCGGUGCCGUGCGCUGCGCCGCCGGGCAGGGGCUCUGCGGAGAGGGUGGCACGGGACAGCGAGGGGGUGGCAUUGCCACGGGGAGCCCCCGGGGCUGCUGCGAGCCUGGGGCUGGGGACGGCAGCCGGACGAUCCCCGCGCCGCUCCGAGCUGCCAGGAAGCGCCGAGGGACACUGCAGUUCCCAGUGCCACUGCUGUCCCCAGUGCCACUGCUGUCCCCUGUGCCAUUCUGUCCCGAGUGCCACUGCUGUCCCCAGUGCCACUUCUGUCCCCUCUGCCAUUCUGUCCCGAGUGCCACUGCUGUCCCGAGUGCCACUUCUGUCCCGAGUGCCAUUCUGUCCCCAGUGCCACUUCUGUCCCGAGUGCCACUGCUGUUCCCAGUGCCACUGCUGUCCCCAGUGCCACUUCUGUCCCCAGUGCCACUUCUGUCCCCAGUGCCAGCCUCCGUCAGGAGCCACAGGGUGAGGCUGCGUGGGUCGGGGCACCCCCCGAGACCUCCCCCCCCGCCGGGACGCUGGCGAGGUUCUGUGGCCAGCGCUGUCCCGGGGCUGGGAGCCCCGCUCUGUACUGCGGCCGUCAGACACGAGAUGGAGCUGCGAUCCCUCCUGUGCCCUGUCGGGAUGGAGCUGCGAUCCCUCCUGGAGCUGCGAUCCCUCCUGUGCCCUGUCGGGAUGGAGCUGCGAUCCCUCCUGGAGCUGCGAUCCCUCCUGUGCCCUGUCGGGAUGGAGCUGCGAUCCCUCCUGGAGCUGCGAUCCCUCCUGUGCCCUGUCGGGAUGGAGCUGCGAUCCCUCCUGGAGCUGCGAUCCCUCCUGUGCCCUGUCGGGAUGGAGCUGCGAUCCCUCCUGGAGCUGCGAUCCCUCCUGUGCCCUGUCGGGAUGGAGCUGCGAUACCUCCUGUGCCCUGUCGAGAUAGAGCAGCGAUCCCUCCUGUGCCCUGUCGGGAUAGAGCUGCGAUCCCUCCUGGAGCUGCGAUCCCUCCUGUGCCCUGUCGGGAUGGAGCUGCGAUACCUCCUGUGCCCUGUCGAGAUAGAGCAGCGAUCCCUCCUGUGCCCUGUCGGGAUAGAGCUGCGAUCCCUCCUGGAGCUGCGAUCCCUCCUGUGCCCUGUCGGGAUGGAGCUGCGAUACCUCCUGUGCCCUGUCGAGAUAGAGCAGCGAUCCCUCCUGUGCCCUGUCGGGAUAGAGCUGCGAUCCCUCCUGGAGCUGCGAUCCCUCCUGUGCCCUGUCGGGAUGGAGCUGCGAUCCCUCCUGUGCCCUGCCUCACCACCCUCCUCCUUCUGUCCUCUGACAGAGCCUGCAGUGUGGAUGAUGCUGUGUGAUCGUUAAUAACACACGGAUUUAUUUACAUUGUGGUAAUUUCCAGCAUCCUCACAGACGAGCAGGGCUUGGCUUUGCAAGGGGCCAUGUAUGGAAGUCCUGCCAGAGAGGACAAAUCACGGGACCUGUUGAUUGCCAGUGCAAUUGAGCUCAUCAGUGGAGUUCACAGCCCUGAGAGAUGUGAGACAGUCCAAGAUUCAAGUUAGGACUAGACCCAAAAUUUUAGGAAAGCAAACUGAAAACUGUUCAAGGACUUGGUUAAUGGGACCCCUAAGAAACUGCUCCUAGGGACAAGGGGGCAGAACAGAGUGAGCAGGUCUUAGAGGAUCUUUCCACAGAGUGCAAGAACUCUCCAUCCACAUGAGUAAGAAAUCAGGAAAGGAAGAGAAGAGACUGGCAUGGCUGAGUGGAGACCUGCUGGUCAGCCGGAAGGGCAAGAAGCAAAUGGACAGUCAGUGGGAGCAGGGAUCAUGGAAAGAGGACAAAUGGCAAUGGAUUUAAACUUUUAAAAAGUAGGUUUAGAUUAGGUAUUAGGAAGAAAUUCUUCCCCGUGAGGGUUGUGAGGCACCAGCACUUCCCAGGUUACCAGAGAAUUUGUGGCUGCCCCAUCCCUGGAAGUGUAGAGGGCUGGACAGGGCUUGGAGCAAUGUGGUCUAGAGGAAGGUAUCACUGCAAUGGAAUGGAAGAAUGGAACCGUGGAAGAAUGUGCUGAACCCAGCCUGGCAAAUGGAGAAACUGAGGCACAGAGCUCUGCAUCAUUGACAGAUGAGCUCUGAGGAUCCCAUCCCUCGCUGGAGGGUGGUGGGGAUGUUUUAGCACUUGGGCUGAGCACUGCAGGCCAGGCAGAUCUGAGCAGGCAGCGAGUGGGGCCAGGCUUUGCACAGAGAAAGGCAAAAGGCAGAAGUGGAGGCAGCAUGGAGCAGGAGGCCCGCCUGAUGCUCUCUGUCCUGGGAGCCAAGGGUUUUUUCUGAUUGCUGAUGAGUCACUCCCAGUGGGGUCUGUCCUCCAGCCCCCCUCGAGCAGUGGUUCUUUGGGCUGGUGUGUGCCACAGCACCCUCGGCAGCAGCUGCGGUCUCCGGCCAGCACGGCUCCCUUCCCUGGCACCACCCUGCCCAGUCCAACCCCACCCUGCGCUCCCGGCCCUGCCCUCAGACCCCAGCAGGGAUCCCCCAGCUCCCCUUCCCAAACCCUCCUGGAAGAGUGGCUGAGCCGCAGGGCUCCAGGGCACCGGGGGCCCUUGGCAACGGGCAAACAAACAGCCUGUGCUGGCUGUGUCAGCAGUGAUUCACGGGGAGCCUCUCGGCCACAGCCCCUCCUGCCCGCGACAAGCUGGGAUGAAGAACGUCUUUAUCCUGUUCUUCCUUUGAUGUUAAUCUGCUCAUCUCCAGCCUCUACCGCCUUUUACAUCCCAACCCCCUCAAAAAACUCACUCUGCUCCCCUGCCUGCCGGGCUGGGGGUGCUGCAGGGGCAGCUCCAGUGAGCAGCACAGGUGAGCUCGGCCGUGGGGCUGCUCUGCCUUUGUCCCACGCUGCCAGCCCCGGAUUCCUCCUGCAAACCACAGCUCGGGGUCUCCCUGAGGACAUUUUGGGGCUCCAGGCCCUUUCCAGAGCUUUUGGGAGUCCCAACCCCCUCUGCACCCUGCUCUCACUCUGGCUUUCUGCAGUGUCCUGCUCUAAUUUCUACAACUGAACCCGUUUUCAUUUUCUCCUUUAGUCUGAGGGACUCUCCCAGCACUUAGGUUUUGCACUCCUUUGAGUGCAAUUUUUUUCUUUUCUUUUGCCUUUUUUGGUCACUAAAUGUGGCGAAGCCAACCAGCCACAUCAUGCUGCCCCUCCACCCCAGUGGCAGCACCGAGGGGGGCAGGAGGGAGAAGGGUAGUGAGCAGCAGGAAAACAGCCCUGCUGCAGGAAGCUCUGUGGAUGGAAAUGGAUGGAAGUGGCUGUGGACACCCCUGGCAGGGCUGGCAGCUUUUCCUGCUGAUGGAAUACAGGCAGCAAUGUAUUCAUCUCUAGGAAAUCCAGAGUGAGGAGGGGGAAAGGUGCUCAGCAGCCCCCACAGCCCAUGCCCUGGGCUGGUGUCCAUCAGUGCAGGUUCCCUCCAGCCCCAGCACUGAGAUCUGGCUCCCCUGAGCAGCUCUUGUGCAGCAGAGGAGCCAGGAGAUGCUCAAUGGGAGCACAGAGAGCCUUGGGACAGGGAGAGAAUUCCCCAAGGGAGCAGCUGGAGCUGUGCCAGGGGAGGGUCAGGCUGGAUAUCAGGAUUUUCCCCUCCCCAAGGGUGGCCAGGCACUGCCCAGGCUCCCCAGGGAAUGGUCACUGCUCCAAGGCUGCCAGAGCUCCAGCAGCAUUUGGACAAGGCACAGGGUGGGGUUGUUGGGGCGUCUGUGCAGGGCCAGGAGCUGGACUCAUGACCCUUGUGGGUCCAACUCAGGAUAUUCCAUAAUUCUAUGGAAUUGAAU
ensembl:lncRNA